AUGGAGCAUCACUCAGCCCUAAGGCAUAUAUCCUUCCUCCUCCUCCUCCCUCUCCUGGCCAGCAUGCAUUAUGGUCAGGCCAACCCUGGUCCUCGCUUGAUCCAUUCCAUCUUCAGCUUCGGCGACUCGUAUGCCGACACUGGCAACUUUGUCAAGCUCGCUGCGCCUGUGUUUCCGGUCAUCCCUUUCAGUAACCUCCCCUAUGGGGAGACCUUCUUCGGUCGCCCCACCGGCCGAGCCUCCAAUGGCCGCAUCAUCAUGGACUUUAUUGCUGACGAGUUCGGGCUCCCUUUUGUCCCCCCGAUUCUCGGUGAAGAAACUAACUUCACCCAUGGAGCAAACUUCGCUGUCGUCGGCGCUACGGCACUCGACCUAGCCUACUUCCACGAGAAGAACAUCACAAGUGUACCCCCUUUCAACAGCUCCUUAAGCGUGCAGCUCGACUGGUUCCAGAACCUCAAGCCCACCUUGUGCUCAACACCACAAGGUUGCAGAGACUAUUUCAGGGGAUCCCUCUUCUUUAUGGGAGAGAUCGGAGGGAACGACUACACCUUCAUCAUGGCCUCCGGCAAAACCUUUGGCCUGGUAUACGUCCGAGACGUCGUACAAGCCAUCUCAGACGGCGUUGAGCAACUAGUUAAGGAGGGAGGCAGGAACGUGGUGGUGCCUGGGCAACCGCCAAUGGGGUGCAUUCCCAUCGUUCUGACCUUGUACGCCAGCCCGAACAAGACACACUACGACCGCCGGGGGUGCCUGAUAAAAUACAAUGCUCUAGCGCGCUACCACAACAGACUGCUGGUGGCGGCCGUGUAUCGGCUCCGGAUCAAGUACCCCGAGGCCAAGAUCGUCUAUGGUGACUACUACACUCCAGUGAUAGAGUUUCUCAAUGAACCAACAAGAUACGGGUUUAGUGCUUCGUCGGGGCUCCAGGUGUGCUGUGGAGCAGGUGGGCCAUAUAACUACGACAUGACAGUGGCUUGCGGGUUUCCUGGCGCGAGCGCAUGCACUAACCCCGACACGCACAUCAACUGGGACGGUAUCCACCUCACGGAGUCUGCAUAUAGGCUCAUCGCCACCGGUUGGCUCUUGGGGCCCUUACGCACAUCUGCGCCUAUUCUGGAGGCCAUGUCAGGAUCUCAGGAUCUCAAGACAUCUUCAAUCUUAUAA
rnacentral:rRNA from 1 species